rnacentral:rRNA from 1 species
CCUACGGGAGGCAGCAGUAGGGAAUCUUCCACAAUGGGCGAAAGCCUGAUGGAGCAACGCCGCGUGGGUGAAGAAGGUCUUCGGAUCGUAAAACCCUGUUGUUAGAGAAGAAAGGUCGUGAGAGUAACUGUUCACGUUUCGACGGUAUCUAACCAGAAAGCCACGGCUAACUACGUGCCAGCAGCCGCGGUAAUACGUAGGUGGCAAGCGUUGUCCGGAUUUGUUGGGCGUAAAGGGAACGCAGGCGGUCUUUUAAGUCUGAUGUGAAAGCCUUCGGCUUAACCGGAGUAGUGCAUUGGAUACUGGGAGACUUGAGUGCAGAAGAGGAGAGUGGAAUUCCAUGUGUAGCGGUGAAAUGCGUAGAUAUAUGGAAGAACACCAGUUGCGAAAGCGGCUCUCUGGUCUGUAACUGACGCUGAGGUUCGAAAGCGUGGGUAGCAAACAGGAUUAGAUACCCUUGUAGUC